rnacentral:rRNA from 1 species
CCUACGGGGGGCAGCAGCUAAGAAUAUUCCGCAAUGGACGAAAGUCUGACGGAGCGACGCCGCGUGGAUGAAGAAGGCCGAAAGGUUGUAAAGUCCUUUUGUUGGGGAAGAAUAAGCGCGGGAGGGAAUGCCCGCGUGAUGACAUGAACCGACGAAUAAGCCCCGGCUAACUACGUGCCAGCAGCCGCGGUAACACGUAGGGGGCGAGCGUUGUUCGGAAUUACUGGGCGUAAAGGGCAUGUAGGCGGCCUUGUAAGCCUGGCGUGAAAGUCACC